UACGUAGGGUGCGAGCGUUAAUCGGAAUUACUGGGCGUAAAGCGUGCGCAGGCGGUUCGUUAUGUCCGAUGUGAAAGCCCCGAGCUUAACUUGGGAAUGGCAUUGGAAACUGGCGGGCUGGAGUGCGGCAGAGGGGGGUGGAAUUCCACGUGUAGCAGUGAAAUGCGUAGAGAUGUGGAGGAACACCGAUGGCGAAGGCAGCCCCCUGGGCCGACACUGACGCUGAGGCGCGAAAGCCAGGGGAGCGAACGGG
rnacentral:rRNA from 1 species